UUCUCCUCUAAGCAAUGAGGGGCCUGGGUGUUAUGGCACCAGUCAAGACCUCUGUUGUGGCUGAUGGCCUCUGCCUGGUGCUGUAGUGUUGGCUCAGCUGACAGAGCGGGAGAUGCAAAUUUUAUCAGAGUCCUGUGGCUGCUGCAAAAAAUUACCACGACUUAGUGGUUUGAAUGUUAACAACUCCUGAGAUGGGGUUCUAGUUCCAGAGUGAAUCCAUUGCAUGCAGAAGGUCCGGGAUUCCAUUCCCAGCACAAUAGGCAGGUGAGGGUCCCUCUCCCCAGAUGACCUAGCCUGGGUCAAGCGGACAAGAAACAAACCAGCAGAGAGACGUUACCAUCAGUCAGGCAGCUCGGGGUACCGGGAGUUCCUACAGAGUCAAGAUGGAUCCUGGAAUUGGGAUGUCCUCACUUUGUCUGGCCCUCACUCACUCUUGAUUCACUCUGGGUGCUGCCUCCAGUUUUUUGUAGACAGGGAGAGUCAAGCGCUACUCCAUGCUGUGGAAAUUAGGCAUGAUAACCAUAAAAUCGUGAUAGUGCCAAGACUCAAAACUCAGCCAAAGCCCAUGCGCUGACACUCUUUGAAGAAAAGAGAGGACCAGAGAAGUCAGUGCUCUGAUUUGACAGACUUCUGGAGGAAGACACUGGGUCCCGCCACCUG